UCCGAGAGCGCAGCUGGACUGAUCCCCGCGGGACAUCGAGCCCCUUCCCUGCCCCGGCCCUCCUGCUCGGCCCAGUGCCACCCCCACACCACUUGUUUCCCGGGGGGAGGGUGACAGAUGGGUGAUUUCAGGGGAGCCAGGCAUGGAGAUGCAGCCAGCAGGAGGCAGGAGAUGAGCCACAGGUGCCCAGCACCCACAGUCCCUGGAUGGGAUGAGCUGGUGGAGGCUGCCCUGGCACCCCUGACAUGGUGACAGCAAGGGAUGAGCCCAACCUGAGCUUGCACAAGCAUGGCCACAGCACCCACGGGCACAGCCCAUGCUCCCCUUGUACAUCCAAAGCAGCAGCAGGACCCGGCCCUCCUUCUCUUCCAAGUGGAGCAAGACCUGAGGAAGGUGCAUACCAGCUU